UACCAGCAUCCCGAGUGGUCGGGACGAUUAUUGGGCCUAAAGCAUCCGUAGCCGGUCCUACAAGUCUUCCGUUAAAUCCACCUGCUCAACAGAUGGGCUGCGGAAGAUACUAUAGGGCUAGGAGGCGGGAGAGGCAAGCGGUACUCAGUGGGUAGGGAUAAAAUCCUCUGAUCCAUUGAAGACCACCAGUGGCGAAGGCGGCUUGCCAGAACGCGCUCGACGGUGAGGGAUGAAAGCUGGGGGAGCAAACCGG
rnacentral:rRNA from 1 species